UACGGAGGGUGCAAGCGUUAUCCGGAUUUACUGGGUUUAAAGGGUGCGUAGGUGGGUUGGUAAGUCAGUGGUGAAAUACUUUCGCUUAACGAAGGAACUGCCAUUGAUACUAUCGGUCUUGAAUACAGUGGAGGUAGGCGGAAUGCGUCAUGUAGCGGUGAAAUGCUUAGAUAUGACGCAGAACACCAAUUGCGAAGGCAGCUUGCUACACUGUUAUUGACACUGAGGCACGAAAGCGUGGGGAUCAAACAGG
rnacentral:rRNA from 1 species